UGGGACGCCUUCUGUCCCCCAUAGGAAGGAUGUGGGUGUUACAGUAUUUGCCUGACUGACGGCUUGGCCUGCAUAACUUAUUCGGUUGGUCCCCAUCAGCAGAUUAGUGAAUGACAACAUGGCUCUUAAUGUCAUUUGAAUAAGCAUCUCACAGGGAGCAGGUUGCUGAGGUUGCUGGCUCUGACCAUUUGUUGCUAUAUUUAGGUGCUGAACCCCCUCCCCUUCAUUAUGUGCAGAUGUGGAAAGGAAGCCCAGUCUUGGGGGUCACACUGGUGAGAUGGACACACACUGGGGGAGAUGGGAUGGGCACAUUGGAUGAACCACUGCACAGCAGAAUCAGGCUAGGGAGCCUCCCUUCCCAUGGUGGUGUUGACCAUCCUCCCCCUCGCUUGCUUCCCUGGUGCUCAGAGCUGAGACAUUCUGAGCCCUGGUUGCACUUCUCCAUAGACUGAGAUCACUGUGGAAUGCCACUACCCGGAGACAGCAUACAGUGCUAAUCUGCCUCAUCCUCAAGCUGGCCCCUGUGAUGGUGAGGACGGCUUUGUUCCUGGAGAUGCACCUGGAGAAGUGAUCAAGGACCCGAGACAGCUCAGGUCGUGAUCGCACAGUUCCUGAGUUCAAGCCCUGCGUCGGACUUUCUGCUAUCAAUGCCAAGCCUGCUUCUGUUCCUCUGUUUCCCUCUCUCUCUGCACCCCCUCAAAAAUAAAUAAAUGUC